rnacentral:lncRNA from 1 species
UUUGCACAAGCUCCAAGGUGAAAUAAAGAGCAAUCAUAUUUAUUGUCUCACAAUCUAUUGGAUAGCUUACAUACAACCUAUUGAAGUAGUUGUAUGAUAACUUGUUGGUUGAUGACAUGGACAUUUUACCAACAAGACUAACAUACAACCUGUUGGAGAUGCCCUUAUAAACCGGAAAGGAGGGAGUACAUGAUAAUGCCGCAGACCAGAGCUGCAGGCUACAUUAUACUCCCUCCGUCCCAUAAUAUUGACACUAGUGCAGUGUCAAAAACACUAUUAUAUUAUGGGGCGGAGGGAGUACAUGUUGUCAGUAGACUCACAACAACUUCAUAACGAUCGCCUUCAUUUUAUUUGCUAGCUAGUUAGAAAUCAACCACUAUCAUAUACAACAUUUUGCCCUGAAUUCGACAAGAAGUCGAGGCAAACUAGCCAAUUAAUCCAGCUGACGUGCUCAAGAUUUAUCUGACAUCUUGAGGAGGAUACCAGUCUUUUAAUCCAGCCGGCCGUUGCACAUUGGUUCAGUGCUGAAACAAACCGGAUGAUCACUGGAUGUGCACCUGUGUGAUCCGAGACCUGGUCGACCACUUGCCGAAACGGCUCGGUUCGACUGCCGACAAUAUAGGGCUUCCUUGCACCUCUGACCUGAUGAUUCAACUGUUACAAUAAACAGAUAUUCAG